rnacentral:lncRNA from 1 species
CCAACCCUUUUCUCCUGUAUCAAAGACUUGGUGGUGCAACAAGCCUUGUUCUCAACCUUGGAGGAUUGGCUAGUGAAGCAUCCCAAAAUCCUCCAGUUUUCAUGGGAAAAUGGCCAAACACCAGCCUCCUCUCACCGCUUCCUCACCCUCACUGUCUUGUCUUACAUCUCUUUCACAUUCGUUCUCUCCCAACUAUCUCGCCCUUCACUUUCACGUCCACUCCUCAAAUCAAUCGCAGCUGUCCACAACAUCUUCCUCCUUACCCUUUCUUUCAUCAUGGCCCUGGGUUGCCUCGUUUCCAUCUUCUCCCAGGUGCCUAACUUCAACACCCUCGUUUGCUUCCCUAGGGAUACAUCCCCAUCGGGCCCUCUCUUUUUCUGGGCAUACAUCUUCUACCUCUCCAAGAUUGUUGAAUUCAUGGACACCCUUUUGAUCAUCCUCAGCGGAUCCAUGAAGAGGCUAUCCUUCCUUCACGUCUACCAUCACUCCAUGGUGGUCAUCAUGUGUUAUAUUUGCUUAGACAGUGCUCAGUCCUCCGUACCCAUGGUGCUGGUCACCAACUGCGUGGUGCAUGUCGUAAUGUACACCUAUUACCUGUUGUGCACCCUGGGGAUGCACCCUAAGUGGAAGAAAAUGGUGACGGAUUUUCAACUAGUGCAGUUCUGGUUAAGCUUUUUGAUCAUGGCCAUGCUUGUGUUCUACCACUUCACUGCUUCUGGCUGCUCUGGGAUUCUGAGUUGGUGUUUCAAUGCAGCCUUCAUCGUCUCUCUUCUCUACUUGUUCUCAGACUUUCAUGCCAAGAGUUACUCCACCAAUGCCAAGGUCUUCAAGGGUAACUAAUAAUUAAUUAAACUACCUUUUCUUUUCUUUUCUUUUCGUUUUCAUUUUUAUAUGUAGUUAUUGUUUCAGAGUGAUUCAUCAGUUGAAGAAAAAAAUGAACAUAAUUGUCAUAAAUUCCUUUUACGAUUUCAAUUCUUCGGUGUGCAUAUGUAUCUUAAUAUCAAUUAAUUGAAGAGAUUCAUUGUUAAUUUAUAUUUUAUGUUUUUACUAUAAAUGCAUGAUUAAACAGUUCCUGCUGUUGCAGAAGCGACGAUAAUAUUAAUAACAAUAUUAUCAGAAAUAUUUAGAUAAUUAUUAUGCCGACAAUUAUACUAAGAAAAUUCCCAGUUAAAUUGGAGGGGUCACAAAUGGUCCCGCUUAAAACCCAACAACUAGACAGAACUCACUUAGAUAUUUAUAGCAAUAAUAACUAAAUAAAUAUAACCAACAUAAAGCUAUUAAAUAUAAGCAAACAACUAAGAAAUAAAAUACCAGAGUUUUAACGAGGUUCGGCCAAUUUAACUUACGUCCUCGGACACUACCAAAUUAAUAUUUCCUCUAGAAAUAUUACAAUAGAGAAGAUUAACACCAAGUUACAAUUAGCUACUUGGAUUUUUGGAAUGAUAAAACCUAAGGGGGAAGGGUUCUAUAUAUAACAAACCAAACCCCCUCCCUUUCUAUCUUUUCCUAAUGUGGGAUAUUGCCAAUAUUCAACAAAUCUCCACCUUGGUGAUAUUCCACAUCUUCGAACAUCUUCUCAUAACACAAACUUCAAUAGUGUCUUCAAAUUUGCAACCAAUCGCCUUCUUCCCUUUUGGUAGUUGUGCCAGUUUCCACGUCUUGUUUUUCUCUAGAGAUUGCAUUUCCUCUUCCAUUGCACCUAACCAUCUAUUAUUCUCUAAAUUUUGAAUGGCUUCGGUGUAAGUGGAUGGAAUAUUAUCAACAACUGGAAGUGCAUAAGCUACCAUGUCAGUGAAACGAGCAGGUUUCUGAAUUUCUCGUCUCUGCCUUCUGACUGCAAUUGGCUCUGAUUGCUGUUGAGGUUCUUGGGUAGAAACCUCUUCCUCAUCUGACUCUGCAUCUGCCAAUGAAGAAUCACUAGUGGUACCUUCUGCUGGAAUUACCACUCUCUGCUCAAACUCCACCUGCUGCGGAGUACACUUCACCUGCUGCGAAGUACUACUCGAAGUACUACUCACUCCUUCUGGAUUUACCUUAUUCAACAUGGCAGAUUCAUCAAAGGUAACAUCCCUACUGAUUAUCGUCUUCUUUGCCUCUAGACACCACAAACGAUACCCCUUAACACCAGCAUUGAAGCCCAUGAAUAGAGCCUUCUUUGCUCUUGGAUCUAACUUUGAUUCUUUCACAUGAUAAUAUGCAAUAGAACCAAAAAUACGCAAGGUGUCAUAAUCAGUAGCAGGUUUUCCAUACCAUUUCUCCAAAGGAGUCUUGCCAUUUAUAGCAGAUGAUGGCAAAUGAUUGAUGAGAUGUUGAGCGUACGUCACAGCCUCAGCCCAAAACUUUCUAUCUAAUCCAGCAUUAGAUAACAUACAUCGAACUUUCUCCACAAGCGUUCGAUUCAUACGCUCUGCCACCCCAUUCUGUUGCGGUGUUCCACCUACGGUGAAGUGCCUUACUAUGCCACAAUCUUGGCAUAUCUUCAGGAAUGGAUCGCUUUUAUAUUCUCCACCAUUGUCUGAUCGGAGAACCUUAAUCUUCCUUCCUGUCUGAUUUUCAAUUUUAGUUUUCCACUUAAGGAAAACUUCAAGCACCUCAUCUUUGUUCUUCAUAGGAAACACCCAAACUCGUCUGGAAAAAUCAUCAAUAAAGGUGACAAAAUAACGUCUUCCUCCAAGUGAUGGAGUCUUGGACGGUCCCCAUACAUCAAAAUGCACAUAAUCCAGAAUACCUUUAGUAUUGUGAAUCCCAGUGCCAAAUUUCACCCUUCGUUGUUUUCCCAGAACACAAUGCUCGCAAAAUUCAAGUUUGCAAGUCUUUGUACCUUUCAAUAAUCCUUGCUUGGCUAGAGUUUGCAAGGAUUUUUCACCAGCAUGGCCCAAACGCAUAUGCCACAGCUGUGUUGCCUCAGCGUCCUUCUUGGUACUCGAAAUUGCUGCUGCUGUUGCCCCGACCACUGUACUACCUUGGUAGUAAUACAGAUUGUUCUUUCUUAUGCCUUUCAACAUCACCAAUGCUCCUGAAGUUGCUUUAAGAACUCCAUCUCGUAUUGUCACAACUAGGCCUUUAGAUUCUAACGACCCCAAAGAGAUGAGAUUCUUCUUCAACUUUGGGACAUAUCGUACAUCCCGCAAAAUUCUAGUAGAUCCAUCAUGACUCCUCAGUUUAAUUGAACCUAUCCCGGCUAUUUUACAUGUGUUAUCAUUACCCAUGUAAACAACCCCUCCAUCUAGUUUUUGAAAUUCAAAGAACCAUUCCCAAAUGGGACACAUAUGAUAGGAACAACCAGAAUCCAUGAUCCACUCAUCUGCAUGUGAUGUUGAAGAUGUCAUACUAAGAGAAAAGUCUGACUCUGCUUCACUAUUGCAUUCUGCAACAUUUGCAUCUUGCGGAGUCUUCCAUUUUUUCUUCAAUUUUGGACAAUCUUUCUUCCAAUGUCCUUUUUCUUUGCAAAAGGAACAUUCAUCUUUGGCAACAGCUCGACCUUUGGACUUUCUUCUCUUCCUCUUAGACUGACUUUCCUGACGAUCUCUUGUUAACAAUGCUUCCACUGCUGCUUCACUUGAACCUUUCAACUUAUCCUUUCGGCGUAGUUCAUAGCUAUACAAUGCAGCAGUUACUUCAUUGAAAGUUACUUCCGACUUUCUAUGAAGUAAAGUAGUUUCAAGGUACUCAAACUCCUUUGGAAGCGAUCCCAACAACAUAAACGCCAAGUCUUCGUCUUCAAAAGUCACAUCCAAAUUCAACAAAUCAACCACCAGCUGAUUAAAAUUGGUAAUGUGCUCAUUCAUCGUGGUACCAGGAACAUAACUGAAACGAAACAGUCUUUUCUUCAUAUGCAACUUAUUUUGACUGUUCUUCUUCAGGAAUUUCUCCUCCAAUGCUUUCUACAAUUUACUUGCAGAAGUCUCUUUACUGAAUAUAUACUUCUGCUCUCUGGAAAGACAUGAUCGAAUUGUACCACAUGCCAAUCGGUUGAUGGUCUUCCAUUCUUUAUCAUCAACCCCUUCUGGUUUUUCUUCCUCAAUGGCAAUAUCUAGACCUUGUUGAAAGAAGGCAUCUAGAAGCUCACUUUGCCACAUGCCGAAAUGACCUAUUCCAUCAAAAAUUUCCACUGCAAAUCUCGUAUUUGCAAUUCCAACCCUCGACAAAAUGUACGAAGUGGAAGUUGUUGAUAUGGAUGGUUUUUCUUCUGUCAUUUUUGCCAUAGCUUCUAUUUAAUAGCCACCAAAUGCGGAAUACCCACAAGCUUUAGGAAAUGUUUCUGAUGUGUAAGAUCAGACUAAGCUGCAAACACAGAGCAUACUACAAAACCUUGGCUCGGAUACCAAUUGUUGCAGAAGCGACGAUAAUAUUAAUAACAAUAUUAUCAAAAAUAUUUAGAUAAUUAUUAUGCCGACAAUUAUACUAAGAAAAUUCCCAGUUAAAUUGGAGGGGUCACAAAUGGUCCCGCUUAAAACCCAACAACUAGACAGAACUCACUUAGAUAUUUAUAGCAAUAAUAACUAAAUAAAUAUAACCAACAUAAAGCUAUUAAAUAUAAGCAAACAACUAAGAAAUAAAAUACCAGAGUUUUAACGAGGUUCGGCCAAUUUAGCUUACGUCCUCGGACACUACCAAAUUAAUAUUUCAUCUAGAAAUAUUACAAUAGAGAAGAUCAACACCAAGUUACAAUUAGCUACUUGGAUUUUUGGGAUGAUAAAACCUAAGGGGGAAGGGUUCUAUAUAUAACAAACCAAACCCCCUCCCUUUCUAUCUUUUCCUAAUGUAGGAUAUUGCCAAUAUUCAACACCUGCUGCAUGCAAUUGUAUUAUAUUAUCGUUUCUAAUGACGAAGAAAAUGGAACAACCGUGAAGUGAAAAAAAAAAAGUUGAUGAGAAAAAUAAAUCAAGGCGGACAUAGAAAUUGUUGUCGCAGUCAACAUUAAAUAUGGUAAGCAGGUGAGUUAAUAAGUUUGACAGGUCCUCACCAAAAAUUAACUUCUCCCUUUUAUCGUCAUAUGUAUUAUUUAAGAUAUUGCAUGCUUUUGUCGUUUUCAUUACACCAAUAUUUUAUGUCUAGUAAGUUUUGGAACAACACCUCAUGAUUCAUCCAUUAAAUUCCAAUUUAGCGUUAUAUAAGUUUUUUUUUCUUAGAGAAUAUUAAGAAAAUCCAGUGUCAUAUAUACACAACAUGAAAUAAAUUUGGUAAUAAAAAAAAUUUGAGAGUAGGGCACCAAAUUAUAGUCCAGUAUUUCAAAUUAAUUUGGUUAUAAGGUCAACAAUCAAUUAUGCAAAUGAUGUAAACCUAAGACACUACUUUAUCACAUGUAUUGUUUCUACUGAUUAGUUUUAAUCAAUUGAAGUUAAUUGGAAAUAAAAUAAAGUAAUUGAUUAUGAAAUUGAUAGAGAUAACAGGUCAACCAAAUGAAUUAUUUUUCCUAUAUUAAAUUAUAAAACAUUCAAAAUGUAGUUAUGACACACGAAUAAGAUUUAUAUAAAAUAUAUAUAUUUAUUAAAAUUUUAUAUGAAAAUCAAAUCAAAUGAAAUUGAAGUUUUUAAAAUUAUAAUGUUUAUGGUGAAUUCAAGUAACAUCUAAAACAAUCAUUAAAAAAAUUGGAGAUUAAUAAGUUAGAAUUGUUUGGAGAGAUCUUACUCAAAAUAAAAAUUACUUUGACGAAAAUCAUAUUAUUAUAUUUUUUAAUAUGAAAGCUUCAAUCUUAUCAGAUUUAUAAUUUUACUUUAUAUUAUUUUUAAUUCAUAUUGUAAUUAUAAUUUAUAAUGAUAAUUAUUUAUUAUUUAUUAUUAUUUUAAAAUUUCAUAACCUUCGUUACUUACGGUUUGUUUAAGGUUACACACAAAAUUAAUGAAAAAUUAUAACCUCUGCUGCUUGAGGUUUGCUUAAGGUUGUUCACAAAAUUAAUGAAAAAAUUAUAACCUUCAUCACUUAUGACUUGUGUUAUAAAAGGUAAAAAAAUCAAGACAAAUCAAUUCAUCGUGUUUUUCUUCAUCAAAUCUGAUAGACGACUUCAAUUAAACAUUAGAUAAAUCUCUAUUGAUUUUAGUUUGCAUAAUACGAAAAACUUCAAUUUUUAAAUUUGAUCCAAUUUGAAUUUAAAUUUUAUUUAAUAAAAUAUUUAUAUGAUUUUAAAUUAGAAAAUAUAUUUAAAAAGUAAAAAAAUACAGAUUUAAUAUUAAAAUUAAAAAUUAAUGUUUUAACUUAAUUAAAUUUAAAUAUUAAUAUUUAAUUUGGUAAUUUUAAUAUAUUAAAAUCCCAAAUAAUUCUAUCUAUUAAUGUACAAUUACAAAUUAAAUCAACUUUAUGCUCAAAAUAAUUUUUUUAAUAUAUAUAUGAAUUAUAAAAAUAGAAUUGUUCUAAGUUUUAUUCCAAAAUCAAAGUGUUAAAAUGGGAUGCAUUUCUUAUAUUAAUAUUUUAUUUUCAUAUUAAAAUAAUAAAAUGUAAAUUAAAAUGAGUUGAAAUUUAAUAAAUAUUAAAUUACACUUUCUAAUUAACUCCAAUUGCAUAUUGAUUGUCAUUAGGAUUAUCUAAUCACAUUAUUUUUAUAAUACAAAUAUGAGAAAAUAUUUAGUACAUCAGUGAAAUUUUUAACUUUCACAAGUAAAGUUAGAGAGUUUAACAAGUUAUAGGGAUAGAGUAAAAUAUUAAAAAAAAAGAGAGUCAUAUAACAAAAUUUUAAAGUUGUUUGUGAAAUAAAUAAAAAAAUACACUACCACUAUAACAAAUACUAACCUUGCAAAUAUAUUUACAAUAUAAAAUGUUUUAAAACAUUAAGAGUAAAUUAAAAUAAUAAUAAUAAUGUGCAACGCGUGUGGGGCUAAAAACUAAUAUAUAUAAAAUACAAAGUAAAAAAAUGGACUAAACUAGGUUUAAGUUUUGAGUAUUAGAGUUCAAGCUUGAUUCAUAUUUUAAAUGAGUCUAAUAUUUUUAUCUAAAACUAUUUUUAAACUUCAUAAUUUUAUUCAAAUCUAUUUAUUAUAUAAAAUCAAAUUCUUUUGGGAGUCAUUAGGAAUUAAUAAGGAUAAUUUUGGUAGUAAAAGUUAAAGACAAUUAUAUAUUUUGGAAAAAAUAAUUAUUUUAAAAUUUAAUAAAACUAACUCCCUUUUAGUAAUUAGGAAUUAAUAAGCACAAUUUAGACAUUAAAAGUUUAGAUAAUUGAAAUUUUUUAAUUACUUAUUUUAAAAUUUUUUAUUCCAUUUUAAUUAUUUGUAUUUAAAUUGUUCUUUUAAGUCCAAAUGAAAUUAUUUAUGCUUAAUUCAUUAAUCUUUUACCAAAAUUUUUUUUUAAAAAUUUUUAAUAAUUUAAUAAUUUAAUUUUAAUAUAAAAAAUCUAUAUUCCAAGAAUUUACAUACCAAAAUGUAUAUAAAAAAUUUAGAUAGUAAGUUGAUGUUUUUAAAGGAAAAGGUGAGUAAAAAAUAAAAUAUUUUUAAGAUUAUUCAAAAGAUAAUAUCUGCAGUAGUAUCAGUAUCAGUAUCAGUAUCUAUAUGUAUUAAUAUCAUAUUUACUUUUGUUUUCUUCUAAAUUUAAAUUGGUUAGUUUCUUUAGUUUUACUUAAUAUAUUAUUAUUAAAAAAUUUAAUAAAUUUUCAAUUGAACUUUAAUUUCAGCUACACAUUUUGUAUAUGGUAAUAUUUGUUAUUAAGAAUAUUUGAUAUAUUAAUUAGCUUUUCAGUUACAAGUUUUUUUUGUAUAAAUAUUGUUCCAUCUUAUUAUUUUAUCCUAAUUUUCGUUUGAUCGUAAUUUUAUCUUAAUUUUUAAUUUUUUUUUCUCUACUAAGAGGUUAGUUUUUUAAAUGGAUACACGUGUUUACAUGCUAUUUUUAAAUAAAUUAUUAGUUUUUUUUAUCUAUUUCUUUGUUUUUCAAUGUCAAGCUCGAGUCUAAAACUUUUUUAUUUUUAAAUUGAGAGUAUAAUUUUUUUUCUAGUCUUCGUCGUAUUCUAACAUAAAAAAUUAAAAAUCCAUUAAUAACACUAUUUACUAAUAUUAUACAAAUAUAUAUCCAAAAUAGAUUACAAGAUUUCCUUUUAUGUCCAUUUUUAAUAUUUUUUUAUAAUAAUUCCAUGCAAGGGAAAAAUCAGGAUUUUAUUGUUUGAAGUUUAGAUAAAGCAUUUCUCUUUUCAAUUUUCUUACUCUUUUUUGUUGCACGUGAAAAAGUUAUUGGUGCUACCGCCCAGCUUUGGAUAUCAUUCUAUAUUUAAAUUGGGUAUAUUUCAUUUAUAUGAUUUGACAUGUUGAUGGCAUAUUUUAUAAAAUCAUAACAAUUUUCCAUAUAAGGUAAAAUUGUAUUUUAGAUAUCUAUUAUUGAUAGUAGUAAUUAAUUUUUUUGCUGGUAUUUUUUAAAGAGAUAAACGAUUAAUCAUGAAAUAUGCUCUAUUCUUAAUAAAGAGGCAAUGGAAGAAGAUUGUAUUUGAGUUGUUCGAUUAAAAAUUUUCAAAAUUGACUUGGAAAGAAGAAGUCAAAUAGAUUUAAAAAUAAUAAUAAAGAAAAAAAAUACAGAAACAACUAAAAGAAAAAAAUUAAGAACAAAGAAUAAAGAUUUAAAACAAUAAAUAAAUAAAACGAAAAUUAAAAAGUGGUUUAAAAAAUCGAUUGAUAUAAUAGCUAGAUGAAUAAGUGUCCAAUUGAACCAUUUGAGACAAAAAUCACAACAAAUUCAAUUAAUAACUCUAAUGGAACUCUAAUUAAUCUAAAUAAAAAAAAAUUAUAUGAUAAAGCAAGUUCUGAUGAAAAAUUCCUAUUACAUAGUGAGAUGACAAGUAAUGGAUUUUGAUAACAAUUUUUAUUAAAGUGGGAAGUGAUAAUGUAGUGAAUUAAUUUGGUAAAAGUUUUGUUCUUGUCAAGCCAUGAAAAGAUAAAAGUAAUAAAUUAUGGUAAUAAUGAAUCAUAUAAAUAUGGAAUUAUCUGUUAAUUAUUAAAAUAUGCUUUAUUAAGAUAUGUUCAAGAAUUAUAAUAGUAGUAAUUUUUUAUAUAUAGAGUUUAAGGUAAAAAAAAAGAGAUUAUUCCUGGGUACUUACUAAGCUUUUACAAGUGUAACGUGUGUUUUAAACACGUAGAUGGAAGAUCGAAUUAAAGCUCUAGAUUCAGGUUGAGAUUUCAACUCAUCUCAUCUCAUAACCAAGGUUUGAAGAGAGUACAAAUUUGAUAUUUUGGUUAUAGAAUAUGACAUGUACACAAGUUAUUGCCAGUGUUUUGAUAUUUUGAGUUUUAUAAUGAUUAGUUGACGUGAAAUAGUCGAAGUUGCUUCGGCAAUUAAUGUAACAUCUCAGUACUUUGACCCGAUGUUUGGGUCGGAUAUGAGGGUGUUACAUUGUUGGUAACUAUUUUGUAACUUUUCAUAAUUAGGUGACAAAAAAUUUCACUAAUAGUUAGAUAUUAAUUUUAUAAUUUUUCAUACUUGGGUGAACAAAAAGAAUUUACUAAUAGUUGAAGAAUUUACUAAUAGUUCAGUGAGUAAUAGUUUGAUUUACCCAAAAAUCUAUGUACUUACAAGUUACAAGAGGGGUAGGCUAAUUACCCCCUAUCCAUAAAUGAAUUCAUUACUGGCGGACCAUUAUCCAUAAAUGAAUAAACAUAAACAGGAAUGCAGUGGAAGUGGAUGGAUCAAUGAUAUCCAGUACCGGUAGGCAGUUGAGGUAGAGAAAAUAUUGGGUCAUACUUUUCAGUGCUUUUAAAGGCAAUCCCCCUCCCCUCCUCCUUUUUGCUGCAGCUUUAUUAACUGACGUAGUGCUAGAGUAGUAAAGGCAGCAGCAAGAUGGAAGUCCCCUUUUUCCCAACCCUUUUCUCCUGUAUCAAAGGCUUGGUGGUGCAACAAGCCUUGUUCUCAACCUUGGAGGAUUGGCUAGUGAAGCAUCCCAAAAUCCUCCAGUUUUCAUGGGAAAAUGGCCAAACACCAGCCUCCUCUCACCGCUUCCUCACCCUCACUGUCUUGUCUUACAUCUCUUUCACCUUCGUUCUCUCCCAACUAUCUCGCCCUUCACUUUCACGUCCACUCCUCAAAUCAAUCGCAGCCGUCCACAACAUCUUCCUCCUUACCCUUUCUUUCAUCAUGGCCCUGGGUUGCCUCGUUUCCAUCUUCUCCCAGGUGCCUAACUUCAACACCCUCGUUUGCUUCCCUAGGGGUACAUCCCCAUCGGG